rnacentral:sRNA from 1 species
GCGGAGGAAAAGAAACCAACAGGGAUUGCCUCAGUAACGGCGAGUGAAGCGGCAACAGCUCAAAUUUGAAAUCUGGCCCUUUCAGGGUCCGAGUUGUAAUUUGUAGAGGGUGCUUCGGCGUCGGCCGUGGUCUAAGUUCCUUGGAACAGGACGUCACAGAGGGUGAGAAUCCCGUACGUGGCCGCCGGCCUUCGCCAUGUGAAGCCCCUUCGACGAGUCGAGUUGUUUGGGAAUGCAGCUCUAAAUGGGAGAUAAAUUUCUUCUAAAGCUAAAUAUUGGCCAGAGACCGAUAGCGCACAAGUAGAGUGAUCGAAAGAUGAAAAGCACUUUGGAAAGAGAGUCAAAAAGCACGUGAAAUUGUUGAAAGGGAAGCGCUUGCAGCCAGACGUGCCCGCAGUUGCUCACCCGGGCUCUCGCCCGGGGCACUCUUCUGCGGGCAGGCCAGCAUCAGUUCGGGCGGUCGGAUAAAGGCCUCUGUCACGUACCACCCUCCGGGGUGGCCUUAUAGGGGAGGCGCAACACGGCCAGCCUGAACUGAGGACCGCGCAUCAGCUAGGAUGCUGGCGUAAUGGCUGUAAGCGGCCCGUCUUGAAACACGGACCAAGGAGUCUAACAUCUAUGCGAGUGUUUGGGUGUCAAGCCCGGGCGCGCAAUGAAAGUGAACGUAGGUGGGAACCCUUCGGGGCGCACCAUCGACCGAUCCUGAAGUCUUCGGAUGGAUUUGAGUAAGAGCAUAGCUGUUGGGACCCGAAAGAUGGUGAACUAUGCCUGAAUAGGGUGAAGCCAGGGGAAACCCUGGUGGAGGCUCGCAGCGGUUCUGACGUGCAAAUCGAUCGUCAAAUUUGGGCAUAGGGGCGAAAGACUAAUCGAACCAUCUAGUAGCUGGUCCUG